UACGUAGGGUGCGAGCGUUGUCCGGAAUUAUUGGGCGUAAAGGGCUCGUAGGCGGUUUGUCGCGUCGGGAGUGAAACACCGGGCUUAACUCGGUGCUUGCUUUCGAUACGGGCAGACUAGAGGCAUGCAGGGGAGAACGGAAUUCCUGGUGUAGCGGUGAAAUGCGCAGAUAUCAGGAGGAACACCGGUGGCGAAGGCGGUUCUCUGGGCCGUAACUGACGCUGAGGAGCGAAAGCAUGGGGAGCGAACAGG
rnacentral:rRNA from 1 species